rnacentral:rRNA from 1 species
UUCCAGACUCCUACGGGAGGCAGCAGUGGGGAAUAUUGCACAAUGGGGGAAACCCUGAUGCAGCGACGCCGCGUGAGCGAUGAAGUAUUUCGGUAUGUAAAGCUCUAUCAGCAGGGAAGAAAAUGACGGUACCUGACUAAGAAGCCCCGGCUAACUACGUGCCAGCAGCCGCGGUAAUACGUAGGGGGCAAGCGUUAUCCGGAUUUACUGGGUGUAAAGGGAGCGUAGACGGCUGUGCAAGCCAGAUGUGAAAGCCCGGGGCUCAACCCCGGGACUGCAUUUGGAACUGUGUGGCUGGAGUGUCGGAGAGGCAGGCGGAAUUCCUAGUGUAGCGGUGAAAUGCGUAGAUAUUAGGAGGAACACCAGUGGCGAAGGCGGCCUGCUGGACGAUGACUGACGUUGAGGCUCGAAAGCGUGGGGAGCAAACAGGAUUAGAUACCCCCGUA